rnacentral:rRNA from 1 species
UAUUUUAGUCUUGUUAGAGGAACCUGUUUUAUAAUCGAUAAACCACGAAGAUCUUACUUAUUUUGAAUAAUUUGUAUACCGUCAUUAUUAGAUAACUUUUAAAAGAAAAAGUUAUUAAAAUUAAAUAAAAUUAAAUAUAUUAGAUCAAGGUGCAGUCAAUAAAUAAGAAAAAAUGGGUUACAAUAAAACCUAUUUAAAACGAAUUAUAUAAAUGUAAAAAUAUAUGAAGGAGGAUUUAAUUGUAAUUUUUUUAUAAAAUAAUAAUAUGAUAAUAGCUCUAAAAUAU